CUGAAGGGAAAUGUCAAUUUGGCAACUGCACCUGAACCUCAAGGCAGAGUUGGUAGUUGUGACUUUGAGAGCUGAAUCGUGCAAUAUCUGGCAGUCAUGGGAUUCGAUGAGGACUUUGAGAGCUACAGGUGUGCACCUGUUUCACCAAAGAGUUCAGCUUUUGGAAGGAACUGAGCCAUGGUGUAGAGAUAACCAAGUGAAAUAGCACUUGCACUGCUGCUCAUAGCUUGUAGAAAGGCCAGACUUGACAGAUUCAAAUUUUCGGACGGCAUUCAUUAAAAGUUUUUGCUGACCUAUAUAUGUAGAAAGUGGGAGAAAAAUAUAUCCCCAGAGGUGGCUUGAUCUUUAUGUUAGAAAUAUAUUAAAAUUCAAGUUUGUAGCUUCUUAACUAAACAUAGAAGGACGGCUGUCACAAUGGGUAGGACUAGCAUUGAAUUUUCUCUUACCUGACAUGAAUACCAUGCCAAUAUUAUCAAUCAAACUUGAGUUAAGGUUGUUA